UCGUUCAUUUGCUUUAUGUUAAGCAAAUCCUAUUGUAGGAUUACAAUGAACUACCCAACAAAUAACAUUUGUUAGUUGGUUUAUAGAAGUGAUAUCCAAAGGUUAAUUUAAGGAUAUCCCACAAGAUUGUUCUCAAACAAAUAUUGCUUAUUAGCACACAACCCCAAAUCUUAACCCGAUUAAAACUUGUCUUUCUUUCCAACUACAUCCUAUGGAGUCAUGAAAAUUUUGGAAGAUCUUCUAAUUGACAAUCAUAUUGUCUUAGAAGUAUAUAUUCUAUAAAUGGGUAAUUGAUAACAUCCAACGAACUAAAUCUUAUUCGAGUUCGUUCUUCUCCUAAUGGAGAAAUCCAUUAUUUUAUGAUGCUAUUUUCCUUGAUAUCUUUCAAGGAAAGUCUUCUAAAGUGUUAUUUUUCCUUGGAUCAAAUCUAAGGAGGUAAAUACUUUAGACAUCUUACUCAUCAACUUACAUUCUUGAAUUCUUUGAAUCAUUUUGCAAAGCAUUCAGACUUGUGUUUAUUCAAAAUAAACAAUAGUCCAACCGAGAGCGAUCUUCGGUGAAUAUCAUACAACAUGAGUAGUAUUAUGUUGUGGACAAGUGCCACUAACAUCUAAGUGAAUUAACCCCAAAAACUUUGUGAUUCUUUAUUAUUUCCAAAAGAAUAAAGAUUCGAACAUUUCGCCUCUAUACAAUUUUAACAAGAAGCCAUUGGAUUCAGAUCUAACGACCCAAAGCAUCCAUUUAUGACCAACUUGUAAUUUAUGUUCAUUAAUAAAGAAUAAUGUUUUGUCAAACAAAACAUUCGUCCAUCUCUUAAGUGAUGGAAUUAAGUUCCUUAUUCAAAUUGGAAUGUAAAGACAAUCUUUGGUUUUCCAAUUUCUAUGGUAGUUCAUAUGAGGAAGUAAGUAUUAUCUGCUUUCGCAGAGAUCUAUAUUUUAUUCACAUUCUGAAUGUGAAGUACUUUCUCUUCUCUCAUUAAUCUUCUACUUCUUAUUAGCCACACUUUUACAACUAUUGUAAAACAUAGUUACUAAUACGGAAUCAAGCAUUCAAGUAGAAGAACCAACUAUUUUGAACUUUUUUAAGAACAAUUUACAACACCUUCGAAAGGUGUGUUCUUGACACUUGCAAGACAUUUCUUGCAAAUACACCUUCAAAUGUUCAUCCUUUCAUAAAGAAAGUUUGUUCCCUUGGAGUUUUUCACCUUCUUCAUUUGACUUCUCCUUUGACUACAAUAGUCAUGGUUCCUAAACUCCCACUAUCUCUCUUGAAACUUAUUUCAAUUGUUUUAUACACAUCAAACAAUAUGGAAAGUGUGCAGUUAAUGUUCACUAUAUAGUUUACAAUAAACUUAGUGAACCAUUUGGAUAGGGACACAAAGGUGAAGUCCUUGCCUAGUUUCCGUCUCUUGAAGUAGUUUAACACUUCAGCAUU
rnacentral:lncRNA from 1 species